rnacentral:lncRNA from 1 species
GCCUCUUGGGCCUUCCACUUCUAUGAUUCUAGCACUGAUCUUGAUUUUCACCCCGUCGGGGAUGUCCAUGGUCUCGGACGACAGAAUUGUCUUCAUGGUUUGUGGCAGCCGUCUCUCUAGUCUGCUCUCUCUGUUUCAGAGGUGCCCCAAAACCCUAAGACAUAUUUUCUAAAUACACCCUCGAAUUAUAAAGGCUGAGUGGAGAUAACCAGGCCCUAUCUGGUGAUGGUUUAGAUUCAAAUUCAACCCAAGCCCAUCGAAGCCCGGCCCACAUUUAUUGCCUUUCAUUAUUUAUAUUCAAACGUUUUUUUUUAGUUUAAUUAUUUUUAUCAUGUCGACUGUGUUUUCUAUUUAGAAUUUUGACACAUCGAUUGUUUUUUUUCAUGCUCAUGUGAUGAAAAAAACAUUAAUCACGACUCAUUCAUGAAACUUUUGCACAAGGAAAUUUAGAUAACGGCACUAAUUUAGUUUUGUUAUCGUUUUAUAAUUUUAUUUAUAUUAUUUGAGAUAUUGGUGAAGAUUAAAUAGAUGAAACCUAGAGAUGUUAUUGAGAAUUUAUAACAAUAUUUGUGAGAUAAAUGUCUUGGCUACAAAGUUUUGGAGGAGUUAUUACGUGGGGCAUGAUAAAGUUUUCAGGAUAUUAUGGUUUUCUGAAAAUUUCAAAAUAUAAAAAUGAUGCGAAGUAUUUAUAUUUAUUCAAGACAAAUAAAAAGGGUAUAAAAAAGAAAUGGUCAAGUAACUUUAAGUUUAAAAAAAGUGCGGUUAACUGUGAUUAGUUAAAUUUAGAUACAUAUUUGAUAAAAAUUAUAGUUGAAGUUUAUGUAUAGCAAAAAACAUAUAUGAAAUGUUUGGUGAAGGUAUUGUUGCAGUUAUUUUUAAAGUGUUUUUUACUUGAAAAUACUUUUUAAUUUUUAAAAAAUUAUUUUUGAUAUCAUCGCAUCAAAAUAGUAUGAAAACACCAAAAAUAUAUUAAUUUAAAGUAAAUAAAAAAAUAAAAAUAAUAAUUUUUUUUCAAAAGCGCUUUUGAAACGCAAAAAUAAAUAUAAUUUCACGUAACUCAGUUUAAAAAAACUUGUAAAAACUGCUGCAUAAAAACUGUAUUUUAAACACAAUCUUUUAGUGGGCCUCGUAGUACAAAACAGUUUGGUUUGUUACCAAACACCUUACCGCUUGUUUCAACACAAACGCAAAAGCUGGUGAAAAACAAAUGCAACUAUAUUUACAAACUCCAAUGAUAUUAUUUUUGUAUUUAGAGCCUGUUUAUUUUUGUAUUUCAAAUUUAAUUUAAAAAAUAAUUAUUAUUACCAUUCAAAACUUUUAAUCAUGUGGAAUUGGAGUAAGUGACUCUAAAAAGAAUUGGUAGUGACUCUAAAAAGAAUCGGUGAAUCAAAUAUUAUAGCCCAAUCAUUUUAUUAUUGAUUUUAAUCUUACACUUUCUAUAACAUAAAAUUAUAGAUCAAAGCGUGUGGAUUUUGUUAAAUUUGUUUUUCUCUCUCAAGAGAAAAAACAAUUUUUAUAGAGUAAUAUUCAAAGUAUUAAAAAUAUAGUAAUGUGCUAUUACCCUUUUUUUGUUUAAUUUGAAAUUGAUGGAUCAUUUUUUUUUAUUAUUAUUGUUAGCAUAGUUUUAAGACCCGGCCCGGUGGUCGGCCCGGUCCAAGGUCCGGGUUCCGGGUUUUGAUCGGGUCAACGGGUCUCGACCGGGUCGCCGGGUCGGCCGGGUCAAAAUUUAUUUUUUAAUUUUUUUUAAAAAAAUAAAAAAGCCGUCGUUUUAGAAAAAAAAAAACAAAAAAAAAAUAAAAGUCAACGAGUUUGGGGUUGGAUGUUGACCGGGUCUUGCCGGGUCAACCGGGUUCCGGGUUGACCCGCCGGGUCGACCGGGUCUGGCCGGGCCAAUUCCCAAGCGGGUUUUGGCCUUCACCCGGACCGGUCCCAUGCCCGGGUCGGCCGGGUCCCGGGUCGACCCGCCGGGCCGGUCCGGGUUUAAAAACUAUGAUUGUUAGAGUCAAUUCAAGCCUAACUCUCGUUAUCAAAUUUUAGUUUAUCACUUUUGAUAUUGAAAUUUGAGAUUAGUUUUGAAAUUUAAAAUGUUCUUUAAUAUUUUUUUUAUUCAUUAAUUUUUAAUUCAAGGAAACCUCGAUCUAGCCCUAACAUAUUAAAUCAUUAUCAAAUCAUAGCUUAUCAAUUCUGCAUCAAUUUUAGUCAAUGUUAGGCUAUAUUCCCCUAACAUGACACUGAAGAACAAUUUUAACGCAGAAAAUUACAUGUGAAGUGGAGGAAAAUUAACUAAGAUUUGACACUAAAAAAGAAUCAUGCAUUUUUUGUCAUAUAAGUGGGCUAAUAUGUAAUUUUAGAUUGUUUUGGUGUAUUAAUAUCAAAAAUAAAUUUUAAAAAUUAUAUUCUUUUGAUACAUUUCAAAACAAAAAUAUUUUAAAAAAUAAUCAUUACCGUAAUCAUAAACCCUAGCAAAGCCAACAUGACACUACUUAAUUGCUCGUUAUAUUAUAACAAAAAUUAAAUGGUGUAGAGUUUUUAUUAUUCACCCUUGCAUUGUUUAUCAAGACACGAAACAUGUGAAUUGAUGCAAUGUAAUUAAAUGGUUGUACUUGCUAAAAAAAACUUGUUAGGCAUAUAAUUGGGUGUGGGGUUGUAUUUACCAUAUGAUACAUUUGACAUUGAAAUUAUCAAUGUUGUUGUUGUUUAUUAUUUUUUAUUAUUGUUAUUAUUAUUAAAGUAAAUUUGGAAUAGACAUAUUUGUCAAAUCAAUAUAACAUGGAUAAAAACAUUAUUUAUAAAUGAAGUGUAAAUCAUUUAUAAAUAACAAACAAUCAUAAAAAUCUAAUUUAAUGUUUUAGAUCUAAAAAUCCAUAUCAUAUCUUCCAAUUGAAAUAAUUUAUUUUUUACGUUUAUGAAUUUGUUAUUUCUUCAAUAAAAAUUUUAUUUUAUGGUUGUUACCGAUAUAAUUUUUUUUUUCAAAGGUAAUUUUUAUUUAAAAAUAUAUUAAAAUAAUAUUUUUUAUUUUUAAAAUUUAUUUUUAAUAUUAAUACUUUAACAAAUUUUGAAAUUUAAAAAAAAUAUAUUUUUUAAAAAUAAAAUAAUAAUUUAUAAACUAUCAUAAUUAACAUGAUCAAGGAAAUAACACAACUUGAUGUUGCAACCAAUCUGUGCUACUAAGCUGUUUGUCAUAGGACGCCAGACUCAACAAACUUGGAUCUAGAAAGAACGUUAGACAUAAGACUCGUGGGUGUGGCAGCGCAACCACAUUCAAGAUAAUUGGAUCUUGUUGGGCUGCCAGACCAAGGAGCUACGAUUUUGGACCCCAAACACCAGAGCUGUGAAUCCAGACGUGUAGACCCAUGAGCCUUAAGUCCUCACACCAGGCACAUAACCCUAGAUUCUUUACAUCGAAUCCAAGAGUUUUAGGUCGGUAUGCAAGGUCACAUCUAAGAGCCUAGCCUUGAGUUUAGUGUAUGGACAAGGCUCUUGGAUUUGGUGUUUAAGAGAUGCUCAAAGAUCUUGGGCCUUACAUUUCUGUCGUACCCACUUAAACUCGGGUCAACAAGUUUAAUAUUAUUAUUAAUAUUCAAAAUAUUAAUAUUUGUAUUAUAUUAAUAUAAUAAUUAAUAUUUUUUUAAAAAAAUAUUAAUAUUGAAAAACAACCAUAGAUAUUAUUUUAAGGGUCGAAUUAAAAAUUAUUAUUAUUAUUAUCAUCAUUAAUAAAUUUGAAAAAAAUAUUAUUAUUAUUGAAGAAAAAACAUAAAUUUAAUUUUAAGAGAUUAAAAACUAUAAGAACUUGAGUCAUGUGAGUUUAUUAUUAUUAUAUUUGAAAAAAAUAUUACUACUAUCAAAGAAAAACCAUAAAUUUUACUUAAAGGGAAUUAAAACUAUAAAAAUUCAAGCAAGACAAGUUUAUUAUUAUUAUAAAUAUUAUUAAAUUUAAAAUAAAUUUUAUUACGAUAUAAAAAAACAUUGAUUUGAUUUAAAGGGUAAAAUAAAUUAUUAUCAUUAUUAACUUUGGUCCAGCGUCCCCUUCCAAACCCAGGUAACUUUGGGUUGGAAAAGGGUGGUUGACCCAAAUUGCUGCAAGUUUAUUAUUAUUAUUAAAUUUGAAAAAAAAUGUUAUUAAUAUAAAAAACAAACUAUAAAAACUUGGGCCAAACACGUUUAAUAUUUAUUAAUAUUGUAAAUAUUAUCAAAUUCAUUAAUAUUAUUAAAUUUGAAGUAAAUAUUAUUAUUAUUGGAAAAAAAUAUAAAUUUAAUUUGUAGAGUAAAAUCAAUUAUUAUUAUUAUUAAUUUGGAUCUGAUAUCUUUUCUAGACCCUAGUAAUUACGGGUUAGAAAGGAACGCCCGUAGGUUGUUGGGUCUUGCAGCCUUAUCUAACCCUAGACUUUUGAGUUAAGCGCCUGACCCAAGUCUCUAAGGUGUAGCAUUAAGAUCCCUGGCUCCUAGGUCUGAUGUUGAGACGCAAGACUUGUGUGUCCAGCGUUACAGUUAUGAACACUCCCAGCUCCUUUUCGCCGGCGCCAUCAUCAUCAGUGCCGACACCGCAACACCGAUAAUCCAAACCUGGAGAACAGCAUUUCUUAUACUCUGAGAGACGAAACCCUUACAACUGAUGUACUCCGUAAUUACUCUCGCAUUAACUCACUAAUCAUUUUGUUUUAUCAGAUUACCUCUGAUUUGAUAUUAUUACUGGAAUUGGCGGCAAAUUCAUUACAAGAUUUCACUACAGUGUACCCUCACAUUUCACAUUUUGUAAAAAUAAUUUAAAUUUUGUUAGUGUUAAGUGAGUUUUUUAACUGGAUUUGAAAAUUUUAAAUUAGGUUUAUGAUGUCAGCCAAAGGCAACGCGUUUCGCUGCAAUUAAAUUCUAAUUCUUGGAGUGUUGCACUUGAUUCGCAUGCGAAAAUGCUGCAAUUCUUUUUCGGAAAAGCUGCUGUCGAAGGUAUAGAGACUGCAAGACAUUUUUGUGCUCCAAGGGCAUAGCAAGAAAAUACAAAAGCAAUCCUUCUAAAAACAGAAACUCUAGCAAGUAUCCAACAGAUGUUAUACUUGAAAAUUUUUGAAAACCCAAAAUAUUGAAAAAAGAAGCUUGAACGGAACUCCCACCAUGUUGAUGCAACUGGAAUCGCUCCCCUCAUUCUUCCUCAACCACAGUGCCCUUCUCACUUACGUAGAUACCAUCAAGAAAUUUUCGGAUAUCCUUGUUCUUGACAUGACAUUUCUGUACAAAAGAGAGCAGGUAAGAGCACGAACGCAAUUCCAGUGACUUAGGAUGCAUCUUUCACAUCCACAGGAACUACAACUCUAUAUUGCGCAAGAAAGAAUAAUACAAAGUGAUUAAUGUUCCUGAGUACAUAUUCUAGUAUGUACAGAAAUGCUAGCACACACUCGCACACGAAAAGAGAGAGAAAAAGAGACCUGGUUGAUCAAAGCUGCUGACCGUGAAACAAGCUCAAUAUCAUUGCCAUCUAGGACGAGCUCAUCCUUCACCUUUUCAGAUCGGAGAAUACUAACCCCUUCAAGCAUAUCAACCUUCCUAACCUGUAGAAAACAACUACAACAACAUCAGAACAUUUCCGCAGCCAAUUACACGCCAAUCUACACCACAAGUCUGCAUUUUGUCACAGUAUUUCAAAGACUGCAAUUCAACAAUAACUCAUAUCCAUGAAACAGGAACUUAAUCCCAGAAGCCAUAAUACAAAAUCUUCAUUUCAAAUAAUUGGAAUGCAGCUCGGUAACAAACAAUUAUUCCAUACUACCAAUCUACAAUAACUCGUAUCCAUGAAACAGAAACUUAAUCCCCGAUUCCAUAAUCAAAACAAUCAUCAUUUCAACCCAAUCCUUUGGGCCCUGGAAUCCGAGCUUACUGUAUUAUAAGACUCACAUGAGAUUUGAAAUAGCACAUUUAAUUCCCCGUGUAAAAUAAAAUCAUCAGCAAAUCACCACAUUUAAUUCCAAACACUUGGAUAGUAAGAUACACUAGUAAAAACUGGCAUCCGGCAUUAUCAACUCUAAAAACUCACUUCAAUUCACUCAUAUAAAAACAUCCUAAAACUAAGUUUCAUUUUCCACUAAUCACAGCAUCUACACUAUUAACAUUACCAGGGUUUUACAAAGCCUCGCUGUAUUUCCAUUAAUAUUCUACUAACUCACCAAUUACAGAUAUUUAUUUCAUGCUGCAGGAACCCAAAUCUAAAACUUAUUCACAUAUUAACUUUCUCGCAACUCUAAGAUUUCUAGCAACAAAGUCUAACAAAAAUAUGAAAAACCCUUGACCUGAUUUCUUAUAGCAUCACACCGGGAAUACCAGACGAGACGGAAAAACAAAACUUGGGAAUAAAUUCUUACCUUCUUCUCGCCCAGAAAGUUCCGGAUCUCGAUAGCAGUGUUGCUGUUGGUGAUGGAAGCGUUGAUGGGAAAGUGAGCAUACACAAACCUCAUCUUGUAUCUGUACCCCUUGGUAACCCCGGUAAUCAAGUUCUCCACGUGGCUCAGGGCAGUCCUGAUAGCAGCACUGGUCUUUCUUGUUGCAAACCAGGCAUCGAUCUUGAGCUUUCUCUUCCCUUCCUCGUCUUUGAUCAGCUGAAAAUCAAGAUUCAAGUGCUUGAAGUUCCUGCUCAGCUUGCCUCUUGGGCCUUCCACUUCUAUGAUUCUAGCACUGAUCUUGAUUUUCACCCCGUCGGGGAUGUCCAUGGUCUCGGACGACAGAAUUGUCUUCAUGGUUUGUGGCAGCCGUCUCUCUAGUCUGCUCUCUCUGUUUCAGAGUUGCCCCAAAACCCUAAGACGUUUUUUCUUUAUAAACCCUAGAAUUAUUAAGGCUGAGUGGA